GUAUUUAAUACACGACUUCGAUGUUGGCUAUUCAACUUUCAAUUUUCAACUGCCGUUUUACUUGCAACGCGUUCGUCAGGUUCGUUCAACAGUGUCAGGGUUGUAUUGUUAAGUAAAUAUAUUCUAAGUCUUUCGUCCACUGCGGUGUUGCCGUCCUACAUACAUAUAUACACAAUUUAUGCAAUGUCAGUAAUUGCAAAGCAACCGACAAAUUUAUUGGAGUUAACUGAAAUCAUUCAAAACAAUUUAGCAAUCGUAAGAAAUUAUUUAAAAAAGAAAAAGAAUAUUGAAUACGCAACGUUGCUUUAUUCAAAGAAAAGAAAAAUUGUUAGAAAAGUGCCUAAAUGCAUAAGCUUCUUUGAGACCAUAAAAAAGAUGCCUUCUGAUAUGUUUUAUUCUCAUUUCCGUAUGGAAACUGCAACAUUUGAGGAAUUGUGCGAUGUAUUGAAGACUGCAUGGAGUACUCGUGAGCGACGUGGUCCAACUGGCAUAUCUUUAAAAAAAGCGCUAUAUUCAACAAUAUGGAAACUUGCUAAUCAAUGUAGUUUCCGCGAUGUCGGUGACAGAUUCAACUUCGGCCGUGGAACCACCUAUAGAGUUUUCAUUAAAACAACAAGGCUCUUGGCUAAUUUCAAAAGACAGCUCAUCAAGUUCCCGCCUACGGAAAUUUCACAAAGAAAAAUAAUGUAGCUAUUCGAGGCAAGCAGAGCGCAUCCCUUUCCUUUUGUUUUGGGUUGUGUCGACGGGACCCAUAUUCGUAUUCCACAACCUUCAACAGGCGGUAUAAGUUAUUAUAACAGAAAGGGCACAAGCUCAAUUGUUCUACAGACUGUUGCUGAUAGAGAACUGCGAUUCACAGACGCUUUUGUGGGAUACCCCGGCCGAUGCCACGAUGCUUUAGUAUGGCAGAACAGUCCACUUAAAAGGGCAAUUGUCAACAAUCAUAUUUCCUUUCCACCGGAAUGUCACCUUUUGGGUGAUGGGGCUUACCCUUUGGAAAUAUAUUUGAUGGUUCCAUAUAAGGACAAUGGAUUUUUAACACCUGCACAAAUUAUAUUCAACAAUGUUUUAGCUUCCACAAGAGUGUGUGUGGAACAAGCUUUCGGUAUUUUGAAAACCAAGUUCCGUAUUUUAAACUAUGUUGAUGUACAAAACCCCAAAGUGGCUAAACAAAUAAUAAUGUCAUGUUUGGUACUCCAUAACUUUAUAAUUAACAAAGAAAAACCUUCUGAAAUAGUGUACGAUGAAAGCGAACAUUUUCAUAUGUCCCUUAAUGCUCAACAAUAUUUGGUUGCAGCAAGUGAUAAAAGAAAUUGGUUAACUACAUUAUUUUCAGCUUGAAGAGCGCAAUAAAAACAUUUUUAUUGAAGAAAACGUGUCUUUUAUUAGGUAUUAAAAAAUAAAACAUUG